rnacentral:rRNA from 1 species
CAGUAGCCGCGGUAAUACGUAGGGUGCAAGCGUUAAUCGGAAUUACUGGGCGUAAAGCGUGCGCAGGCGGUUAUAUAAGACAGAUGUGAAAUCCCCGGGCUCAACCUGGGAACUGCAUUUGUGACUGUAUAGCUAGAGUACGGCAGAGGGGGAUGGAAUUCCGCGUGUAGCAGUGAAAUGCGUAGAUAUGCGGAGGAACACCGAUGGCGAAUGCAAUCCCCUGGGCCUGUACUGACGCUCAUGCACGAAAGCGUGGGGAGCAAACAGGAUUAGAUACCCGCGUAGUCCCUGUCUCUUAUAC